rnacentral:rRNA from 1 species
UAAUACGGAGGGUGCGAGCGUUGUUCGGAAUUAUUGGGCGUAAAGCGCACGUAGGCGGCUCUGUGAGUCUUCGGGUGAAAGGGCGGGGCUCAACCCCGGGCUUGCCCAAGAUACUGCAGGGCUGGAGACAGGGAGAGGCCAGUGGAAUUCCGGGUGUAGCGGUGGAAUGCGUAGAGAUCCGGAAGAACACCGGAGGCGAAGGCGGCUGGCUGGCCCUGGUCUGACGCUGAGGUGCGAAAGCGUGGGGAGCGAACAGGAUUAGAUACCCUGGUAGUCCACGCCGUAAACGAUGGGCACUAGAUGCCGGUGGGAUCGACCCCUUCGGUGUCGGAGCUAACGCGUUAAGUGCCCCGCCUGGGGAGUACGGCCGCAAGGCUG